rnacentral:rRNA from 1 species
CCUACGGGUGGCAGCAGUGGGGAAUAUUGGGCAAUGGGCGCAAGCCUGACCCAGCAACGCCGCGUGAAGGAAGAAGGCUUUCGGGUUGUAAACUUCUUUUAAGAGGGAAGAGCAGAAGACGGGACCUCUAGAAUAAGCCACGGCUAACUACGGGCCAGCAGCCGCGGUAAUACGUAGGUGGCAAGCGGUGUCCGGAUUUACUGGGUGGAAAGGGCGGGCAGCCGGGAAGACAAGUCAGAUGUGAAAUCCCGCGGCGCAACCGCGGAACUGCCUUUGAAACUGUUUUUCUUGAGUACCGGAGAGGUCAUCUGACUUCCUUGUGUAGCGGUGACAUGCGUAGAUAUACGGAAGAACACCAGUGGCGAAGGCGGAUGACUGGACGGCAACUGACGGUGAGGCGCGAAAGCGUGGGGAGCAAACAGGAUUAGAUACCCCUGUAGUC